AGGCAAGGUGCUCUCACGAAUUGCACCUUCCUAUUUCGACAAAACGUUCAAGAACUUCAGCGCUAUCUGGUUAAGUUCUGGAGUGAAGGCGGCCAAGAUCGGCGUUCGAAUCGGAGUUUAAAGAUAAAGUGAUUUUCGGACCUGUGUAGAAAAUUCUAGAAUUGUUGGAAUCCAUUCCGUCAAGAAAACU